AUUCUGCCCAAGCGGGGAAGGAUGAGAAGCUUCGCCCUUCGGGUCGUUGCCGCAGGCAACGACCCGAAGGGCGAAGCGCGCAGCGCUGAGUAAUCCUUCCCCCACCACCA
rnacentral:sRNA from 1 species